rnacentral:tRNA from 2 species
GGGCCGUUAGCUCAGUCGGUAGAGCAGCGGACUUUUAAUCCGUUGGUCGGGUGUUCGAUUCACCCACGGCCCA